AUUCUCUUUCCAACAGCAUUUCUAUAGUAAACGACCCUACUCUGUAGUUUUUACGAAAGCGACAUGAGUCCCAACCUUGCUGAUGACCCUAAUGUCCUCGAUGCCCUAAAGUGAAGCCUUUUUUUACUCUCGCCUAUAUUUUGGCAGCGAUGAUGAUACUUGACAAUGCUUCGGUGUUUGAUUGAAUCUCAUCCUGUUGAUUUAGAGAGUGGUGAUGAUCUUUACCUCGUCGUGGCGUCUGACUUCGGUCGGCCUGGCAAGGUGGGUGUCGAGGAGGUCUGAAAGGU
rfam:Trichophyton interdigitale MR816 cont1.396, whole genome shotgun sequence.